rnacentral:sRNA from 1 species
AGUGUGGGUGGGCAGCUUUUUGUGCGCUUUUAACUUAUAAAUAUGAUUGGCCGAAUAAAAACACAAAGCAGCUUCGUGUGAUGAUCGCAGAAAGGACCCUGGUUCCGGCCCUGCAUCUUAUACCCUGUACCUAUAACAAUGCGUAACGUUGAUAUAAUAAUACUGUAGCAAACAUAUGCGACAGACAGAGUCUGAGUUUACUUAUAAUUUCUAAUUUCAACAGACACGCAUAAAGUCGCACAAUUUAUAAGUUAAUUCAAUCCUAUACUUCAGUAUAGGGAAUCUUCAAGUCGACCUCGCUCUACUUAAGCGUUUUACUCGUUCUGAUUGUUGUUGCUUGCCACAAAAUACGUCUUACUUUUUUUUGUCGAAGUUUAUAUUCUCUAACAAAUCUU